CACGUGUUACAAUGGGUGAUACAGAGGGCCGGCCGCUGGCAACAUCGGUCCAAUCCUUAAAGUCAUCCUCAGUUCGGACUGGGGUCUGCAACCCGACCCCACGAAGCUGGAUCCGCUAGUAAUCGCGCAUCAGCCAUGGCGCGGUGAAUACGUUCCCGGGCCUUGUACACACCGCCCGUCAAGCCAUGAAAGCCGGGGGCGCCUGAAGUCCGUGACCGCGAGGGUCGGCCUAGGGUGAAACCGGUGAUUGGGGCUAAGUCGUAACAAGGUACC
rnacentral:rRNA from 1 species